UGCGUCCAUAGCUCAGUUGGUUAGAGUACCUGCUCGACACGCAGGGGGUCGUUAGUUCGAAUCUAACUGGACGCACCAA
rnacentral:tRNA from 1 species